rnacentral:rRNA from 2 species
GCCCAGCCGUAAACUUAAUUUACCAUCGCCAGAGAACUACGAGUUACACUUAAAACUCAAAGGACUUGACGGUACCCCAAAUCCCACUAGAGGAGCCUGUCCUGUCACCGAUGACCCCCGUUAAACCUCACCCCCCCUAGCCCAUCAGCCUGUAUACUUCCGCCGUCAGCCCACCACGUGAGCGCAAUUGAGUAUGCCCCUCCGCUUAACUCGCACAGACGUCAGGUCAAGGUGCAGCUUAUGGGGGGGGAAGAGAUGGGCUACAUUCUCUACCCUAGAGCAAACAGAAAACACAUGAAACUAAGUUGGAAGGUGGAUUUAGAAGUAAGGGGGGAAUAGAGUGCCCCCUUGAACUUGGCACUGGAGUGUGUA